UUGAGUGUUGCCUUUUGUUGGGAUCCAAAUUGAGGUUAUUUGGAGGCUAGAAGGGUGUGGAAAAACCUUAAAAGCAAAGGGUAAGGCUUACAGGCGACCAUGCGCUUGCAUGGAUGCCUGCAAGGGCUUUUCUCGGCCUCCCUUAUGGGCGUAAGGAAUGCCCACAAGGACCCCCGAACUUAGGGUUUUAAAUACCCUUUUUCCUUGUUUUCUUCAUCCCCUUUCAAGCUCUCUUCCUUCUCCAUACCUCUUCUCCUCUAGAUCUCUCUCUUCUCCUUAAACUCCCCAUAUAUUGCCAUUAAAUCAAGGAGGAAGCAUGGUGAUCUCCUUCCUCCCCUCUAGAGAAGGCUCAUCCUUAAGUUUUGAAGGCUUUGAGGAGGCGAGGCAUCGGCCAAGGGUAAAGGACCGGUGGAGAAUUAACACCGGAGUUGGGCGACUCGCCAAGUUUUGCUUGAUUUUGAUAGUGAUAUGGAGCCGAGCUUCGGUACUUAUGAUAGUAACAGAGAGAGAGAGAGAGAGAGUAUCCACGGACUGACCUAGUUGGGGUGGCAUGGAGAACUCAAUUGAGGUACUACCCUUUCAAGAGACAUAUAGAGAAAAUGAAAGGUGUGCAGGGUUGGAUGCUCAGAGUCUUCACACAGGUUCCUUAACGGCCAACACCAAGAGACGCAUAUCUUGGCGGCUCCAGACCUUAUGAUGAGUAUGCCCUGUGUUUGGGGUUGUUGCUCUCUUGGUUAAUAUUACAAUCAUAUUGUGAUUACUUACAUUCUUGUUCUUGUGUAAUAAGGUUGUUGUAUGUCUUCAUUGUUAAAUUGUUCUUUGUUGUUAUAAUGAUAUUGUACGGAGAACAGGUUAGCA